UACGUAGGGUGCGAGCGUUAAUCGGAAUUACUGGGCGUAAAGCGUGCGCAGGCGGUUCUCCAAGUCCGUUGUGAAAGCCCCGGGCUCAACCUGGGAAUGGCAGUGGAAACUAGGGGACUGGAAUCUGGCAGAGGGGGGUGGAGUGCCGCGUGUAGCAGUGAAAUGCGUAGAGAUGCGGCGGAACACCGAUGGCGAAGGCAGCCCCCUGGGCUGAGAUUGACGCUCAGGCACGAAAGCGUGGGGAGCAAACAGG
rnacentral:rRNA from 1 species